AGUUUUAGGAUUACUUAAGUUUUUAUUUAGAGAAGUAAAGUGUAAUUUGGAUUAAAUAUAAUAUAAUUUAGGGUUAGAUUUAUUUGAAUUUUUUUAUUAAUUAUUCGAAUACGAGCCACAUGCUUAAUUUUGAACUUUAUUUACCGACCAAAGAAGCCUCAAAAUUCAUUAAUAAUUAAUCAAACUAAACUCCUAUUCGAAUAAUUAAUAAAAAAAUUCAAAUAAAUCUAACCCUAAAUUAUAUUAUAUUUAAUCCAAAUUACACUUUACUUCUCUAAAUAAAAACUUAAGUAAUCCUAAAAC
rnacentral:lncRNA from 1 species